GACGAACGCUGGCGGCGUGCUUAACACAUGCAAGUCGAACGGAAAGGCCCUGCUUUUGUGGGGUGCUCGAGUGGCGAACGGGUGAGUAACACGUGAGUAACCUGCCCUUGACUUUGGGAUAACUUCAGGAAACUGGGGCUAAUACCGGAUAGGAGCUCCUGCUGCAUGGUGGGGGUUGGAAAGUUUCGGCGGUUGGGGAUGGACUCGCGGCUUAUCAGCUUGUUGGUGGGGUAGUGGCUUACCAAGGCUUUGACGGGUAGCCGGCCUGAGAGGGUGACCGGCCACAUUGCGACUGAGAUACGGCCCAGACUCCUACGGGAGGCAGCAGUGGGGAAUAUUGCACAAUGGGCGGAAGCCUGAUGCAGCGACGCCGCGUGCGGGAUGACGGCCUUCGGGUUGUGAACCGCUUUCGCCUGUGACGAAGCGUGAGUGACGGUAAUGGGUAAAGAAGCACCGGCUAACUACGUG
rnacentral:rRNA from 1 species